AUUGCCUUUUUUGAUCUUUUGUUCUGAAUCUUUUUUCUGAACUUACUAUUCUGUUUGUGUACAUUAUCCUCUCGUCAGUUUUGUGAUUUUAGACAAAGUUUCAGCCCUCGAGCAAUAGCUCGUCCACCACGGGUGCUUGCAGCCGUCCAAGUCGAGGGUUGACGCCAGUCCAAGUAGAAUCACACCCACCAUCUUCACUAGCACUGUGCAACCGGCCAAGUUGAGCACACACAACAAGGAAAAAAGUGAAAGCCCGCCAACCCGCGUCGCGUUGCCCCGGGACCCCCGAGCACUGCCGCGCGCCCAUCGCCGGUGCCUGACGGUGAGGGCCAGCGUCUUUGCCCGACAAAGCAGGCUACCAUCCCUCCAUUGACAAUGCGCAUGUCCAGCCGUUGCUGCAUCUCUCUCUGCCCGUGGAUGCUCGUUUGCUAUAGUUGCUUUCUCCCCUCCCUGUACAUGCUGCUACUCACCUUUUUAUCUCUCUCAUGCGUUGUGCUGCACUACUGCAGCUCGAUCCAGGAGGUGCUAGCUCAUGCUGGCUGGAACUAGGAUGCAAAAGGGUUGACGGAUCCAUGCCGCACAAGCACUGCGCCAUGCUCAGUCCAACCCCGUGGCUUCAGGGUGGCCGAGUUCGUCGCGACCAUCAGUUCGGAGACCUGCGUCACUACCCGUGUCGCUACCAUGGCCACCUGCAUCACUGCGUGCUCCGUCAACAGCCUCCUGCACAGGGAAAAGCAACAGGAGUAGAGGCGUCUGAGAUGCUCUGUUCUAGCGAGGUGGCUAAUUAUGUUUGUUAGUUUGUAAUACUUUGGCUGCAGUGUACUUAUGUAUCUUUUUCUGGCCGGAGCACGACCAGAGCUUAUGUCAGUACGAGCUUUGAUUGUGAUGGUACUACAAACUAUAUAAAAACACCAGCAAUCCAUUUUUACUCGUACUUACCUUUUAUACAAUUUA